UACGAAGGGGGCUAGCGUUGCUCGGAAUCACUGGGCGUAAAGGGUGCGUAGGCGGGUCUUUAAGUCAGGGGUGAAAUCCUGGAGCUCAACUCCAGAACUGCCUUUGAUACUGAAGAUCUUGAGUUCGGGAGAGGUGAGUGGAACUGCGAGUGUAGAGGUGAAAUUCGUAGAUAUUCGCAAGAACACCAGUGGCGAAGGCGGCUCACUGGACCGAUACUGACGCUGAGGCGCGAAAGCGUGGGGAGCAAACAGG
rnacentral:rRNA from 1 species